UAAGCGGAGGAAAAGAAACUAACAAGGAUUCCCCUAGUAACUGCGAGUGAAGCGGGAAAAGCUCAAAUUUAAAAUCUGGCGGUCUUUGGCCGUCCGAGUUGUAAUUUAGAGAAGCNUCUUUCCGCGCCGGACCGUGCACAAGUCUCCUGGAAUGGAGCGUCAUAGAGGGUGAGAAUCCCGUCUUUGGCACGGAUGCCCGGUGCUUCUGUGAUGCGCUCUCGAAGAGUCGAGUUGUUUGGGAAUGCAGCUCAAAAUGGGUGGUGAACUCCAUCUAAAGCUAAAUAUUGGCGAGAGACCGAUAGCGAACAAGUACCGUGAGGGAAAGAUGAAAAGCACUUUGGAAAGAGAGUGAAACAGUACGUGAAAUUGUUGAAAGGGAAACGCUUGAAGUCAGUCGCGUCGACCGAGACUCAGCCUUGCCUUGGCUUGGCGUACUUCUCGGCCCGACGGGUCAGCGUCAAUUUUGCCCCUCGGAUAAUGGCAAGGGAAAGGUGGCACCUUUACGGGUGUGUUAUAGUCUCCUGUCGCAUGCGAGGGGUGGGAUUGAGGAACUCAGCGCGCACCUUGGUGUCGGGGCUUCUGCCCACGUCACGCGCUUAGGAUGCUGGCGUAAUGGCUUUAAACGACC
rnacentral:rRNA from 1 species